rnacentral:rRNA from 1 species
AGAGUUGUAUCCUGGCUCAGAACGAACGCUGGCGGCAGGCCUAACACAUGCAAGUCGAGCGCGCCUUCGGGUGAGCGGCGGACGGGUUAGUAACGCGUGGGAACGUGCCCUUCUCUACGGAAUAGCCUCUGGAAACGGAGAGUAAUACCGUAUACGCCCUUUGGGGGAAAGAUUUAUCGGAGAAGGAUCGGCCCGCGUUAGAUUAGGUAGUUGGUGGGGUAACGGCCUACCAAGCCUACGAUCUAUAGCUGGUUUUAGAGGAUGAUCAGCAACACUGGGACUGAGACACGGCCCAGACUCCUACGGGAGGCAGCAGCGGGGAAUCUUAGACAAUGGGGGCAACCCUGAUCUAGCCAUGCCGCGUGAGUGAUGAAGGCCUUAGGGUCGUAAAGCUCUUUCGCCUGUGAUGAUAAUGACAGUAGCAGGUAAAGAAACCCCGGCUAACUCCGUGCCAGCAGCCGCGGUAAUACGGAGGGGGUUAGCGUUGUUCGGAAUUACUGGGCGUAAAGCGCGCGUAGGCGGAUUAGAAAGUUGGGGGUGAAAUCCCGGGGCUCAACCCCGGAACUGCCUCCAAAACUGCUAGUCUAGAGUUCGAGAGAGGUGAGUGGAAUUCCGAGUGUAGAGGUGAAAUUCGUAGAUAUUCGGAGGAACACCAGUGGCGAAGGCGGCUCACUGGCUCGAUACUGACGCUGAGGUGCGAAAGUGUGGGGAGCAAACAGG